rnacentral:rRNA from 1 species
CCUACGGGAGGCAGCAGUGGGGAAUUUUGGACAAUGGGCGAAAGCCUGAUCCAGCAAUGCCGCGUGAGUGAAGAAGGCCUUCGGGUUGUAAAGCUCUUUUGUCAGGGAAGAAACGGUGAGGGCUAAUAUCUCUUGCUAAUGACGGUACCUGAAGAAUAAGCACCGGCUAACUACGUGCCAGCAGCCGCGGUAAUACGUAGGGUGCAAGCGUUAAUCGGAAUUACUGGGCGUAAAGCGUGCGCAGGCGGUUUUGUAAGUCUGUCGUGAAAUCCCCGGGCUCAACCUGGGAAUUGCGAUGGAGACUGCAAGGCUAGAAUCUGGCAGAGGGGGGUAGAAUUCCACGUGUAGCAGUGAAAUGCGUAGAGAUGUGGAGGAACACCGAUGGCGAAGGCAGCCCCCUGGGUCAAGAUUGACGCUCAUGCACGAAAGCGUGGGGAGCAAACAGGAUUAGAUACCCUGGUAGUCCACGCCCUAAACGAUGUCUACUAGUUGUCGGGUUUUAAUUAACUUGGUAACGCAGCUACGCGNGAGUAGACCGCCGNGGGAGGUACGGUCGGUCGAGAAGUUAAACUUAACGUAAAGAAAGUUAGUACGGCGNGAGACGNGCGACGGACGACGACGAGGGAGGAGG